CGGACGGGUGAGUAACGCGUGGGUAAUCUGGCUCAAACUGGGGGAUAACAACUGGAAACGGUUGCUAAUACCGCAUAAGCUCCCGCUGUCGCAUGGCAGAGAGAGAAAAGAUUUAUCGGUUUGAGAUGAGCCUGCGUUGGAUUAGCUAGUUGGCGGGGUAACGGCCCACCAAGGCGACGAUCCAUAGCCGGACUGAGAGGUCGACCGGCCACAUUGGGACUGAGACACGGCCCAAACUCCUACGGGAGGCAGCAGUGGGGAAUAUUGCACAAUGGGCGAAAGCCUGAUGCAGCAACGCCGCGUGAGGGAAGAAGGCCUUCGGGUUGUAAACCUCUAUCGAUGGGGACGAAAAAAUGACGGUACCCAAGUAAGAAGCACCGGCCAACUACGUGCCAGCAGCCGCGGUAAUACGUAGGGUGCAAGCGUUAUCCGGAAUUACUGGGUGUAAAGGGUGAGUAGGCGGCCUGUAAAGUCAUGUGUGAAAUCGUGCAGCUUAACUGCACAACUGCACAAGAAACUUAUAGGCUAGAGUACAGGAGAGGUUGGCGGAAUUCCUAGUGUAGCGGUGAAAUGCGUAGAUAUUAGGAAGAACACCAGUGGCGAAGGCGGCCAACUGGACUGUAACUGACGCUGAAUCACGAAAGCGUGGGGAGCGAACAGGAUUAGAUACCCUGGUAGUCCACGCCGUAAACGAUGAGUGCUAGGUGUCGGGGGGAGACCUUCGGUGCCGGAGCAAACGCAAUAAGCACUCCACCUGGGGAGUACGUACGCAAGUAUGAAACUCAAAGGAAUUGACGGGGGCCCGCACAAGCGGUGGAGCAUGUGGUUUAAUUCGACG
rnacentral:rRNA from 1 species